rnacentral:rRNA from 1 species
CCUACGGGAGGCAGCAGUGAGGAAUAUUGGUCAAUGGGCGAGAGCCUGAACCAGCCAAGUCGCGUGAGGGAGUACUGCCCUAUGGGUUGUAAACCUCUUUUGUCGGGGAGCAAAAGCCGGACGUGUCCGGCUGUGAGAGUACCCGAAGAAAAAGCAUCGGCUAACUCCGUGCCAGCAGCCGCGGUAAUACGGAGGAUGCGAGCGUUAUCCGGAUUUAUUGGGGUUAAAGGGUGCGUAGGCGGAUUGUUAAGUCAGCGGUAAAAUGUCCGGGCUCAACCCGGGCCGGCCGUUGAAACUGGGGAUCUUGAGUGGGCGAGAAGUAUGCGGAAUGCGUGGUGUAGCGGUGAAAUGCAUAGAUAUCAGGAGGAACACCGGUGGCGAAGGCGGCCUGCUGGACUGCAACUGACGUUGAGGCCCGAAUGCGUGGGGAGCAAACAGGAUUAGAUACCCGGGUAGUC